CCUACGGGAGGCAGCAGUGGGGAAUAUUGGACAAUGGGCGCAAGCCUGAUCUAGCCAUGCCGCGUGAGUGAAGAAGGCCUUAGGGUCGUAAAGCUCUUUCGCCAGGGAUGAUAAUGACAGUACCUGGUAAAGAAACCCCGGCUAACUCCGUGCCAGCAGCCGCGGUAA
rnacentral:rRNA from 1 species